rnacentral:rRNA from 1 species
UUAAAAUUGUUGCAGUUAAAACGCUCGUAGUUGAAUUUCAAAGAAUCGACAUUUUAAGCAACGCUUCUAGCUUAAUCCACAUAACUGAUACUUCGUAUCGACUUUGUGCGCAUUUUGCUAUUAUGUGUUCUUUUAAUUAAAAUGAUUCUUUUUAAGGACUUUCUUUGCUUCGGCUUGGAAGUCCUUGUUACUUUGAGUAAAUUAGAGUGUUCAAAGCAAACAGAUAUAGCAUUGCGCGUUUGAAUACUACAGCAUGGAAUAACAAAAUUGAACAAGUCAGAAUUUUGUUCUUUUUUCUUAUUUUGGCUUAGUUACGAUUAAUAGGAGUAGCUUGGGGGCAUUUGUAUUCAGAUGUCAGAGGUGAAAUUCUUAGAUUUUCUGGAGACAAACAACUGCGAAAGCAUUUGCCUAAAAUACUUCCAUUAAUCAAGAACGAAAGUUAAGGGAGUGAAGACGAUCAGAUACCGUCGUAAUCUUAACCAUAAACUAUGCCGACUAGGCUUUGGAUGAAAGAUUUUAAAAUAAGAGUUUUCUCUUCGGAGUUUACUCUUAGAUUGCUUCCUUCAGUGCCUUAUGAGAAAUCAAAGUCUUUGGGUUCUGGGGCGAGUAUUCGCGCAAGCGAGAAAGUUAAAAGAAUUGACGGAAGGGCACCACCAGGCGUGGAGCUUGCGGCUUAAUUUGACUCAACACGGGAAAACUCACUAGUUUAAGACAAGAGUAGGAUUGACAGAUUAAUAGCUCUUUCUUGAUUUCUUGGAUGGUGAUGCAUGGCCGUUUUUAGUUCGUGAAUAUGAUUUGUCUGGUUAAUUCCGAUAACGAACGAGAUCUUAACCUGCUAAUUAGCGGCAAAUACGAUAUAUUCUUACGUGGGACUGAAUUCGGUUGAUUUGCUUACUUUGAAGAAAAUAUUGGGAUACGUAACAGUUUCCCUUUCCCUUUUCUACUUAGUUCGCUUUUCAUACUGUUUCUUUUUCGCGUAAGAAUGUAUUUGCUUGAUUGUAAAGCUUCUUAGAGGAACGAUGUGUGUCUAACACAAGGAAGUUUAAGGCAACAACAGG